UGUCUUUUAUAAUACCAUGUUAAAUAUAUGAAACAACUAUUGUAUUUUACAUGUUUAAAUUUUUUCUAUGGCUAAAUUACAUAAAAUCCUCCGUCAAAACCUGAUUUUUCACUUUUCUCCCCUAUUAUUUAAAAACCUACACUUUGCCCCCUUGUAAAAUGAAAAGUAUUCACAAGGGGGGUACGGUGUGUAAAAUGACUAUUUUGCCUCUCACCAUUUUCGUCUCCUUCCUUAUCUUCCUCAAUAGCAGCCUCGAUCGGCUGCGGUUUACGUCUCAAUUGGCUGCGGUUUCCCUCCAUUUUCUUCUCCACCUGCUCCCCUCUCCUCCUGCACCCUCGCCGGCCCUCGAUUUCGGCAAUAAUAGAGUAGAAAUCGAGGUAGGGGUGGAUGGAGAGGUGGGUAACGGCAACGAGGGCGAAGGCAAGGCGGCGGAGGAGGGCGGAGGGGUGUUUGUGGGCGUAGACAGGGAUGUGGGUGAGGGCGAGGCAGUGGAGGAGGGCUAGGCGGCGAGGCGGCGAGGCAACAGAAAAAAAGGUGGAGGGUAUUUUUUAUAUAAAAAAAUAUUUUAUAACGGAACCCUAACGAAUUACUAAUGGUAGGGGGUAAAGUGCAUAUUUUUCAUUUUACAAGGGGACAAAGUGUAGAUUUUUAAAUGACAAGGGGGGAAAGAGAAAAUCGUAUUUUGACAGGGAGGUUUUCUGUAAUUUAGUCUUUUUCUAUUUAAUACUCCUCCUCACGUCUGAAUUCGAGACUUUGAAUUAAAUGGAAGGAAAUAAUUAAUAAUGCUAAAAGUCUGGGGUGACUCGAACAUAGAACUCUACUUUGAUACAAUAUUAAUAUAUGAAACAACUGUUAUCUUAAACUUACAAAGAACAACAUUUAAAUAUUUUUAUAUUUAAUAGUAUGCAAUAUUUAUAUAAUAUUAAUAAUAUUAUUUCAACUGAAUUCUAUAGUCGUAUCCUUUCAAAGUUUGAUUUGGCAUGUUUUUGGUUUGCUAUUUUGUAGUGUUUCUGAGCUUUGGAUAGGAUUGGCUUCAGUAUUAGUGACUGGUCGAUACUUCUGGAGAGUGUCGGUCUGAGUUGGAGUUGUUUCUG
rnacentral:lncRNA from 1 species